AAUAUUUGUGACGUUCCUACAGAAGAAGGUCCGGCUAACUCCGUGCCAGCAGCCGCGGUAAUACGGAGGGUCCGAGCGUUAAUCGGAAUUACUGGGCAGUCAAGCCUGCGCAGGCGGUUUGUUAAGCCAGAUGUGAAAUCCCCGGGCUCAACCUGGGAAUUGCAUUUGGAACUGGCGAACUAUGUAGCCUUGUAGAGGGGGGUAGAAUUCCACGUGUAGCGGCGAAAGCCGCUCAUAUCUGGAGGAAUACCGGUGGCGAAGGCGGCCCCCUGGACCAAGACUGACGCUCAGCACG
rnacentral:rRNA from 1 species